GGGGAAUUGAAAACAUUAGGGUGAUUGGUGGGUAGUGUCAGGAUCUGUAGUGGCAUUAGGGCUUUGUAGCUGUGUCUGGAGUCCAUGGCUGGGUAAGCCCCAGGCUGCCCCAAGAAGGAAGCACCUCAGUUCCUUUCCGUUCAGGACUCAGCAGAUCAGUGGCAGCCAUAGCACCCACACCUGGCCCAGCCAGCACAGGAGCUGUGGGACCCCAGCCUUCUGUCCAUCCAUCCAUCUCUCCACCAUCUCUCUGUCUGUCCUGUGGCCUCAGGAAAGCACACCUGUUGGGAGAGCCAAAGUCACUGGGAACCUUCAGUGCAGUGGAGGAGCCCGGGCCAUGUGUUUACAGCUCUUCGUGUCUCUGCGGUCUGGGGAGGCGCCUGGCAGAGGUGAAACGGACGUGGACAGCCAGGCCUCCAUGCCCCGCUCACUUGGCCCUAAGCUUCCAGAAGACUUUCGGUGGAGCAAGGGGGGCACAGAAGCCUCCUGUCCUCUGUCACUCACUGCCCCAUGGCCACUGUGACUGGCAUGUCCUUGGUGUGCGGUGUACGGGUCCUUGGCAAGGUGGCCCGAGACAGCCACUCUGAGCAGGAGUCUUUGCCAGGGGCAGGGAAACAGCCAGGAGCAGCAGGUGCCAUUACCAGAGUCUGAGGUUUGCACUCAACUCCACCACAUUCACCUUUGGAGUCUGCUUUGGGCCGCUCUUGCUGCAGGGCUGAAGUUGGGGCUGGGAGCAUGGAAAAGAAUAAACUGAGUCUCGGUUCUGCUGCCUGCCUUGCAAGUGGAAGGACCCGAGUUCAAUCCCUGGUACAAAAAAAAAAAUAAAAAAAUAAAAAAACCCCUGAGUCUUGCUGCCUGUUUUAGUUCCUU
rnacentral:lncRNA from 1 species